UGGCGGUGAAGGUGGGGAGGAGAAAGGCAGCUUUGAUUGAGAGGUCUCGGCAGGAUGUUCUUACUUAUUUACAUUCUCCAAACUUUCUUUCUGCAUUCCUAACGCCCUGGGCAUCCUGUCUUCAGGCCUAGGAGCGUCCACCUCCCGCUGGUCGCUCUAGUCUGGGCCUAGACCUUUCUAUGGUCCUGUCGCCUGGCUCGACUGAGAAGUGGUGCUGAGGGAGGCAUUUGUUCUGGUUUCCCUGUCGCCAUCGGCCAUCUCCAGUAACCUAGUUUCUUGGCUUACCCUCAGCCCAGGAUAGCCCAGACUGCAAUUUUCGGACAUCUAGGUCAGCUCCAGGCUCUGAUUCUCCACAGCAAAAACAGUGAGCGAGCUCUCCAGUCGCCCAGUCGGCAGAGGCUCCCAGGCCAGCCCCGGCACCCGACUGCCGGGAAGCCCAGAGCUUCCCCAUUAGCCAGCAGAGGCUGGUGAAGAGCCUGGAUGGGGGUGAGAGGCCUUGAGGUAGGGGUAGUAGUGGAGGGAGAGGAAAAUAGAGAAAUCGGCUCUUGGUUUGAACUGUAGCUGAGAUCUGUUGUUCUUAUCCAAGGUAUGUUUUUCCCUCCCGGCCUCUGUCUCUUCCUCUCUCGCCUUAACUACUUUAUGCAAAUAAAGCAGCUUCCAGAUUGGAGGAGCCCCUCCGGUUGGAUCUGUGCUACCAGGUGGGUGGGAAUUGACAUAGUAUUUGUUUUUUUACUGAGAAUAGGCACUGAGUCCCCCAACAAUUAUAAAAUAAAAUGGAUUUUCCUCUUAAA